rnacentral:lncRNA from 1 species
AUGGAGUUCCCGUCCUGGCGUAGUGGAAAAGAAUCCGACUAGGAACCAUGAGGUUGUGGUUCGAUCCCUGGCCUCGCUCAGUGGGUUAAGGGUCUGGCGUUGCCAUGAGCUGUGGCGUAGGUCGCAGACAUGGCUUGGAUCUGGCGUUGCUGUGGCAGUGGUGUAGGCUGGUGGCUACAGCUCCGAUUAGACCCCUAGGCUUGGGAACCUCCAUAUGCUGCUGGUGCGGCCCUAUAAAGACAAAAAGACAAAAAAAAAGAAAAAAAGAAAAAAAUUCAAGUUCACAACAGAGCUGAUGUGCUUUGACUCUUUUCAUCCUUCAAGGCCCAGCUCACCUACGCUUUCAGCCUUCCCAGUUCCACAGGGGUGUCACUCUUUUCUGAACUUCUGCAGCACAACCUCCAUCACAGCAGUUACUAUCACAGACUCUAUUAUCUCUUGCCAGACUCUUUGAACAGAUGUCUGUGCAAUCUCAUCUUGACCUCUUUCUCCCUUACAGGGUAGAUCUUUCUAGCUCACAACAUGGGAUGAUUUCCACUCCCUACUGAGGGAAAUUAAAAACUCCUUGAAUGUUAGCCUUAUAACACAACCCUCCAGGUAUCCCUACUCAUUCUCAAUUACCCACUAAUUGCUUGCAUGUCAUAGGCAGCUUCUGAAUCUACUUCUGACUUCAAUGUCAAGGCCUUUCCUAAUCCCCUCCCAUGUCAUAAGAAACCUUUCUCUUUGUUCCUCAAAUAGUUAACUACUGAGUAAAUUAUAUUAUAAAUUAAUGGAAUACAGGAACGGAAUUUAGUCUUGUCUUUACUUUUCCCCUCCCCUCCACCCCAGAGCAAGUACUCAGUAAAUGUUUGUGGAAUUAAACUGAAUUUUAGCAGACCGAGUUAAUCUUGGAUAAGGAAGAUAAGGUAAAUUCUAGGGUCACAGGUAAAAUUUCCAAAGAAUCAUGUUUCUUCUAUUAUUUUUUUUUUAUUGUUUUGCUUUUUGGGGCUGCACCUGCAGCAUAUGGAAGUUCCCAGGCUAGGGGUCGAAUAGGAGCUACAGCUGCCGGCCUACACCACAGCAAUGCGGGAUCCAAGCCUCGUCUGUGACCUACACCACAGCUCACAGCAACGCCAGAUCCCCGACCCACUGUGCAAGGCUGGGGAUUAAACCUGAAACCUUAUGGAUACCAGUCAGGUUUGUUUCCACUGCACCACAACAGGGAACUCCUUUCUUUAAGACAUAUGAAUUAUAACAUCAACCAAUCAUUCAACAGUAGCUCUGGGGAAGGGGUGAAGAACUCCUUCAAUAUAAAAUGUAUACAGCUAUCCAAGCUAAAAGCAAUCUCAGGGGCUAGAGAUGCCAUUUGCUUCCUACUUCUGGAUCUACCUCUCCCCCCGGCAAGAAAAUACACUUAUGCUACUUCUCCAAUAUUUAGUUCUACUAUAUUACAAGUUCUAUUCUAAUUUCUUCCUUUGUUCUUUUCUUUCUUUCUUUUGUCUUUUUAGGGUUGCAUAUGGAGGUUCUCAGGCUAGGGGUCCAAUCAGAGCUUGACUUAGCAGAGAAAGCUGAAACCUAAACCCUAAACAAAAAACUGAAGAGAAUGAUGCUGAGGCCCCUGGAAAGUUAACUUAAAAAUGCCAGUGA